GUCAGGUCUGGGUUACCUUCAGACAGUCAGUACUGAGUUCCCUUCAGACAGUCAGGUCUGGGUUCCCUUCAGACAGUCAGGUCUGGGUUCCCUUCAGACAGUCAGGUCUGGGUUCCCUUCAGACAGUCAGUACUGGGUUCCCUUCAGACAGUCAGUACUGGGUUACCUUCAGACAGUCAGUACUGAGUUCCCUUCAGACAGUCAGUACUGAGUUCCCUUCAGACAGUCAGGUCUGGGUUCCCUUCAGACAGUCAGUACUGAGUUCCCUUCAGACAGUCAGGUCUGGGUUCCCUUCAGACAGUCAGGUCUGAGUUCCCUUCAGACAGUCAGGUCUGGGUUCCCUUCAGACAGUCAGGUCUGGGUUCCCUUCAGACAGUCAGGUCUGGGUUCCCUUCAGACAGUCAGGUCUGGGUUCCCUUCAGACAGUCUUGUGGGCGUGGUAGAUCAAAACAAAACUUUUUAGACUCUGGAGACAUUUUCCUGAGAAGACAGAUUUUCGGGAUGUCACAUAAUUUUCUGACAAAC